rnacentral:piRNA from 1 species
UGAGAAAACAAAAUUCUGGAUUGAAGAGA